rnacentral:rRNA from 1 species
GCCGCGGUAAAACGUAGGACGCGAGCGUUAUCCGGAUUUACUGGGCGUAAAGCGCACGUAGGCGGCCCGUUAAGUCUCUUGGUGAAAGGCCGGGGCUCAACCCCGAGCAUGCCGGGGAUACUGGGGGGCUGGAGACAGGCAGAGGCCAGCGGAAUUCCGGGUGUAGCGGUGGAAUGCGUAGAGAUCCGGAAGAACACCGGAGGCGAAGGCGGCUGGCUGGGCCUGAUCUGACGCUGAGGUGCGAAAGCGUGGGGAGC